AGAGUUUGAUCAUGGCUCAGGACAAACGCUGGCGGCGUGCGUAACACAUGCAAGUCGGACGGGCGGCUGUUUUCGGACAGUUUGCCAGUGGCGGACGGGUGAGUAACACGUGAAUGACCUGCCUUGCGAUGGGGGAUAGCUCUCAGAAAUGGGGGAUAAUACCGCAUGCGACGGUAGCCGUAGGGGUUAUCGGGAAAGCCGGAAGGCGUCGCAAGAGGGGUUCGCGGCCGAUUAGCUAGUUGGAGGGGUAACGGCCCACCAAGGCGACGAUCGGUAGCUGGUCUGAGAGGAUGAUCAGCCACACUGGGAUUGAGAACGGCCCAGACUCCUACGGGGGGCAGCAGUGAGGAAUCUUCGGCAAUGGGCGCAAGCCUGACCGAGCAACGCCGCGUGCGGGACGAAGGCCUUCGGGUCGUAAACCGCUUUUCCCAGGGGAGAGAACGGACGGUACCUGGGAAGAAGCCUCGGCUAACUACGUGCCAGCAGCCGCGGUA
rnacentral:rRNA from 1 species